UACGGGGGGGGCAAGCGUUGUUCGGAAUUACUGGGCGUAAAGGGCUGGUAGGCGGCCAACUAAGUCGGAUGUGAAAUCCCCAGGCUUAACCCGGGAACUGCAUCCGAUACUGGUCGGCUUGAAUCCGGGAGAGGGAUGCAGAAUUCCAGGUGUAGCGGUGAAAUGCGUAGAUAUCUGGAGGAAUACCGGUGGCGAAGGCGGCAUCCUGGACCGGCAUUGACGCUGAACAGCGAAAGCUAGGGGAGCAAACGGG
rnacentral:rRNA from 1 species